rnacentral:rRNA from 1 species
UACGGGGGGGGCUAGCGUUGUUCGGAAUUACUGGGCGUAAAGGGCUCGUAGGUGGCCAACUAAGUCAUGCGUGAAAUCCCUCGGCUUAACCGGGGAACUGCGUCUGAUACUGGAUGGCUUGAAUCCGGGAGAGGGAUGCGGAAUUCCAGGUGUAGCGGUGAAAUGCGUAGAUAUCUGGAGGAACACCGGUGGCGAAGGCGGCAUCCUGGACCGGUAUUGACACUGAGGAGCGAAAGCCAGGGGAGCAAACGGG